GAACGUCAAGUCCUCAUGGCCCUUAUGUCCAGGGCUACACACGUGCUACGAAUGGGCAGUCAAAGGGUAGCAAGCCUGCGAAGGUGAGCCAAUCCAAAAGCUGUUCGAGUUCGGAUUGGAGUCUGCAACUCGACUCCAUGAAGCUGGAAUCGCUAGUAAUCGCGGAUCAGCAUGCCGCGGUGAAUACGUUCCCGGGCCUU
rnacentral:rRNA from 1 species